GUUGAGUAAGAAGUUGCUGCGGCCAAGGUCAAAGAGGUUUUUACCUGCUUUCUCCUCGAGGAUUAUGAUGGCUCCCUGUCUUACAUUGAGGUCUUUCAGAACUGAUCAUUAUUUUUACAGCCAAUGUUCCAAAUCAGAAUCUGAUCUAUUAAUAAUGAUCCUUUUUUAUCUUUAAAAUUGUAUUCAAUAGGCAGUACACAGAUACUAAUUUCAUAAAAAGCUUUGGGUACUAUGACAGAGGUGGAAACAGAGGCCCAGAGAAGUUAUUUAAAGGCUUUUCCCCAAGGUUGUACAGCCACUGAAGUACUGCCAGCAUGUGACCUACAAU